rnacentral:rRNA from 1 species
GGCUCAGAUUGAACGCUGGCGGCAUGCCUUACACAUGCAAGUCGAACGGUAACGGCGGGCAACCUGGCGACGAGUGGCGAACGGGUGAGUAAUGCAUCGGAACGUGCCCAGUAGGUGGGGGAUAGCCCGGACGAAAGCCGGAUUAAUACCGCAUACGACCGUACGGGGGAAAGCGGGGGACCUUCGGGCCUCGCACUAUUGGAUGAGCCUAUGUCAGAUUAGCUUGUUGGUGGGGUAACGGCCUACCAAGGCGACGAUCUGUAGCUGGUCUGAGAGGACGAUCAGCCACACUGGGACUGAGACACGGCCCAGACUCCUACGGGAGGCAGCAGUGGGGAAUAUUGCACAAUGGGCGAAAGCCUGAUGCAGCAAUGCCGCGUGUGUGAAGAAGGCCUGCGGGUUGUAAAGCACUUUCAGCAGGGAGGAAACAGUAGCCGGUUAAUAUCCGGUUGCCUUGACGUUACCUACAGAAGAAGCACCGGCUAACUCUGUG